rnacentral:rRNA from 1 species
UACGGAGGGUGCAAGCGUUAUCCGGAUUCACUGGGUUUAAAGGGUGCGUAGGUGGGUUGGUAAGUCAGUGGUGAAAUCUCCGAGCUUAACUUGGAAACUGCCAUUGAUACUAUCAGUCUUGAAUAUUGUGGAGGUCAGCGGAAUAUGUCAUGUAGCGGUGAAAUGCUUAGAUAUGACAUAGAACACCAAUUGCGAAGGCAGCUGGCUACACAUAUAUUGACACUGAUGCACGAAAGCGUGGGGAUCAAACAGG